AGCGGUGUCACGAUUAAUCAGGGCCUUUCCCCCAUGGGACAAAGACCCGGUGUACAGUUUUUGGAAUGCCUUCGAGGGUCCUCGAGGCAU
rnacentral:snRNA from 1 species